GACGAACGCUGGCGGCGUGCCUAAUACAUGCAAGUCGAACGCAGUGGGGACGGGUGCGUAACACGUGGGUAACCUCCCAUCAGAGGGGAUAACACUUGGCAACAGGUGCUAACCCGCUACGGAUGGAUGGACCCGCGGUGCAUAAGCUAGUUGGUGGGGUAACGGCUCACCAAGGCCACGAUGCAUAGCCGACCUGAGAGGGUGAUCGGCCACACUGGGACUGAGACACGGCCCAGACUCCUACGGGAGGCAGCAGGAGGGAAUAUUCGGCAAGGGACGAAAGUCUGACCGAGCAACGCCGCGUGUGUGAAGAAGGUUUUCGGAUCGUAAAGCUCUGUUGGUAGAGAAGCGGUAUCUAACCAGAAAGCCACGGCUAACUACGUGCCAGCAGCCGCGGUAAUUC
rnacentral:rRNA from 1 species